UUACGGUCAGAUCACGUUGAAAAACCGGUUCCUGUACGAUCACCAAAGUUAAGCAAUGUCGAUUCUGGUCAGUACCUAGUUGGGUGACCGCUUGGGAAUAGCAGAUACUGGA